rnacentral:rRNA from 1 species
UACGUAGGGGGCAAGCGUUGUCCGGAUUUAUUGGGCGUAAAGCGCUCGCAGGUGGUCCGAUGCGUCGUGCGUGAAAGACCCCGGCUCAACUGGGGGGUGUCGUGCGAUACGGUCGGACUGGAGGCCAGUAGGGGGAUGCGGAAUUCCGGGUGUAGUGGUGGAAUGCGUAGAGAUCCGGAGGAACACCAGCGGCGAAGGCGGCAUCCUGGACCAAUAUUGACGCUGAGGAGCGAAAGCCAGGGGAGCAAACGGG